GGCAGGGAACGAAGAUGAGGGAAGGCUGUUUUAUUUUCUCUGGACUCUCAAUUGAUGUGACAAAAUCAGCCGAAACCAAAGUUUAAAAAGAGAAAAAUGCUAAAGUCAGCUUAUAUCACAAGGAUGGAUGUAGGAUUCUGGGGGUGUGGUUCAGGCUGUGAGGACUCUGUGUCUUUGGGAAUUAUUUUGCUCACCUCCAUCAUUCAUUAAGUGCUGAAUGCUACUGGCAUCUGCUGCCUAUGGCCCUCUCUCAGGGUCCCUGGAGAGCUUGGAUACCAUAUGUAUUUCCUCUGGCUCAGCAGUGCAGGUUGAAUGAGCCCUAAUAACCCAGGUGGAAAAGCCUUGACUAUGAAAGGGUUAGGAAGUGUUGACCAGGUUAAAACUUGGAGGCAGCGUUAUCUAUCUUACAUGAUCAACCUGUCCAAAUAUUCUUACGUUUAUUGUCAUAGUUGUAAUUCAUAAUUUAAAUACCUGUGGUUUUUGAUGGUCUUAAGACAAUCCCCGUGAAAAGGUUGUUCAACCCCAAAGGGGAUGUGAGCCACAGGCUGAGAGUCCCUGCUGUAGAGGAGCACAGCUUAUUGACUUUCUUCCCAGGAGUGGCGUCAUAUCCACUGAGCUGGGCCCUCCCAUAUUAUUCAUCAAGAAAAUGGCCCACAGGCUUGCCCACAGGCCUGUCUGCCCGAGGACAUUGUUUUCACUUGAGGUUCUCCCUGAAUUACUUUAACUUGAAUGAGUUGACAAAACUCUAGCCAGAACACAUAGCAAAUUUGGGGGUUGUCUUUUCACGUAUUCUGUUAAAUUUUGUUAAAUUAUUUUAAACUUUAUUCUGAAGUAACUGAGUUGAUUUUUUUUACCAGCAUUACCACAAAACUAGAUGCAAAUCAAGUCAGCACACAGUGAUGUGAAAUCACUCAAAAGCCAAAUAUUAAAUACUUCCUCUCCCUGAGAAUUAUAGUGGGCAAUUUCUACCUUCCUUAGUCAGAUCUCAUAGCCUUUAAUAAUAAGGGCCUUUCAUAAUUUUUAGUUGAUCUUAAUAAUAACUAAAUCUAAUGGCAGAAAUCCCUACACAUUAAUACCCUGUAAUCCAACAGCUUACAGUAAGGAAUAUUUUUUUUGUUAAAUAUCACUUAUGUUACAGAUAUGAUUAGUGGCAAAAUUAAGUGAUUUGCCCCAGAGUUCCCAAAAUUCAAGCACACUCCGUCUGAAUGAGUUAGCUUGAGUAUAUUUCAGAAGUAUCAAAUUUGUUUGACGUUUUCUCUUAAAUCGCAGGGCUCCAGCUGGAAGAUGACAGUUAGAGCAUGUCUCAGAGGUGUUUGUUAUAACAGCCCUUCAUCGUUGGGGAAGAGGGGUGCAUAAAAGAUUUUGACUUUAAAAUGAUGAACAUUAAUAAUGGAUGACAUGUUCAAACUUUUAUUAGAACUCAGUGUUUAUUUAAUUUUAUUCAGGAAAGUUAAAAUGUGCCUGUUAUCAUCAAUAAAAAUGUAGCUCAGGGCUAGAGAGCUAACACCUGGUGCCAAAAAAUCGUCAUGAAGAUGGAAAAGCCUGGCCUGCCGUAAGUCCAGCUCAGCUGUUAGCUGUUACAGUCAGUGCCAUCUCUGUUCACAGAACAAAAAUACCAUCCCACAGGGUGGAUGAUAUUACAGUACAACUUGUGGCCAGUCUUUUCUCAAGUCUCUACAGAUGUGGCUUCAUUAGCGGCUUGGUCACCUUCUACAGUUGGCAAACUCUACCCACUUUGGGCAGCUUUGUGCUUGGGGAGGGUAGUUGCCUGGUGUGGGACAACUCAACUGGUCCAGUCAGAUCCUCUGAGAUUCUGAAACCUGUGUCAACUGCGUAGUGUUGGUUGCUCUUUUGCUUAGGGCUCUGUGGAGAGGAAACAGCAUUGUAGCUGCUCGGGUACUGGGGGAUGAGGGGGAUACAAGGCACAUAGGUACUUGCCUCCAGUCACUUUGGCAGAACACAACAGGACUCAGGGCUUACUGCCUACAACAGGAGCUGGCCAUGAUGCUCUAUGCCUGAGCCUUAGUGGUCUGCCUCAAUUGAUAUAUUGAAACCUCACCCCAUCUACCCCUGAUCUUGGGAGGUAUAAGGCCUUUGAGAGGCCUCAAAAUGAAGGACUAGGGAAACUUGUUUUCCCCUUCCUGCCUAGUGGGGACAUAGGCAUGUGAAACAGGAGGUGGGACCUCACCUAGUCUGCUGGCUCUGUGAUUUUUAAGAUUUUCAAGCUUGCAGAAUUUCAAGAGAUUAAUUUAUGUCUGUGGUAUUGUGUAGUGUCAGGUUGCUCUUCUGCUGGGUCUCUCAGGUUUAAGUGCAGAUGGACAGCCUUAUUUUUCUGUUGGAAGAAGUAAACCCAAGGCCUAGGAGGUGGUAUAUCCAUGCUUGCUAACCUAGGCCAAAUACCAUAAUCUUAUGCUAAUGGAUUUCAGAAGAUUGAAGCUUUUCUCUGAAUACAGAUCUUCAGUUUAGGUGUGAAAAUCUUGCUCCUGGGACCUAGAAAACAGCAUCUUGCAAGUGUUUUGUUUAGGGAUAUUAUUAUUAUUAUUAUUAUUUAUAUGAGAACACUGAACACUGUAGCUAUCUUUAGACACACCAGAAGAGGGCAUCGGAUCCCAUUGCAGAUGGUUGUUAGCCACCAUGUGGUUGCUGGGAAUUGAACUCAGGACCUCUAGAAGAGUAGUCAGUGCUCUUUACUGCUGAGCCAUCUCUCUGGGGAUUUUUCAGUAGGAUAUUCUGUUCCUUCUUUGUUCUGUGUUUGUUUAUGCCAAAGUAUUGCAGUUUAAAGAUAAUUGAACAAUCUGUAAAUAGCCAUUAUUUUGCACAGUGUGAUACUUUACCUGCCCCAGCACAUAGCUUGCUAGCAUUUGGAAAGUUUCUAAUGGGCUAAUUCUAGCUAUUCUCAUUCCUAUGACUUAUGCAAAGCAGGCUGCAGCGGCCUGCCACACACACAACUGAAAGUCUCACACCCUAAGUCAGUUUUGUAAGGAAUGAUUUUAUGAUAAACAUGAGAUUUGGAAAGAGAAAUGUGUGGUUGAACUCUCAUGCAGAUUGGUACAGAUUCUCCAGUGUGCACUGUGUCUGGACUGGUACAAGAUGGCACAUACUAGGCAUGUUUGUUCUGGGUGGAAUUCACUGAAGCCAACAGAUAGGAUCCCACUGUUGGUGCCUGCAUCAGGAGUUGGUUGUUGGAACCCUAGUUAUAAGGAUUCUGGAGACAGCACUGGAAAGUACUUGUCUCUAUAUGUGGUAUAGAUGGAGUGAGCAGACCCUCUGGUUAAUAGGAUUUCUGGUCUGCCAUGUUUAUAUGAGCUUGCUGUUUAUGGCUUGGGUCCUUGAGAAAUGGAUGUGAAGGCUUGCCUCUUAAAAAAAAUCUUUUGAUAAAAUACGUCAAAUUCUAGGAGAAAAGUCAUACAGGUUUUCCAUCACACACAAUCUUCAAUGUCUCAUAUUUUUGGUUGUGAGCCUAGCCUUUACCAGCUGAGCCAUCUAGUCAGAGACCUGGGAUUAGGGAGACUCCAGGGAGUCUUUGAACAUGACUGUAGCUGAGAGUCCUAGCAGUGGGGCAUAUGGAGCUUGAAUUGGCCACCUCCUGUAGCCUAGGACCUAGGACCUAGCACACACAUACACACACACACACACACACACACAUAAAGCAGAUGUGCAGCUUGGUCUUCAUUUGGGUCCUCCAACAACUGGAGCAGGAACUAUCUCUGACUCUGUUACCUACCUGUGGAUCCCAUUCCCCUAAUUGGGCUACCUUGUCUGGCCUCAAUGGGAGAUGUGCCUAGUCCUGCAGUGACUUGAGGUGUCAGGAUGGGCUAGUACAGGACAGGGUGGGGAGCUCCCCCUUCUCAGAGACGAAGGGGAGGGGAAAGAGGCUGUGGGAGGGCUGGGAGGAGAGGUGGGGGCCGAUCGGGAUGUGUGUAAAGUUAAU
rnacentral:lncRNA from 1 species